ensembl:lncRNA
AUACGCGUAGUAUCUGGGCUAUGACACUUGUCGUCCCGUUUGUGAGUUGGUGCAGGUAUUGACAACAUGGCAUCCAGUGGUGCUGCUGUGUUCACAAGGAAUAAUCCCUUUCCGCCAGACCCCCCUCCCCAAAAAACACAUUACAGCCCCUCACUCAUCAGUAAAAUUUCCAAGCAAGCGAGGAAAACUAUUCUGAGCCCUGUUCGACUUAACAAGCGGACAAGCCCUGUUCCGACCAGGAUAAACACACUAAAUCCAGAAGACCAGCGUUUCAACGGAGCAGCUCACCACUUUGCGGACUGUCCUCCAAACACAGAGGACCAGACUAGUUUCUCUGAUUCCUGGCCCUCCAUUGAUCUUGGGUCUUCCCCUGCCAACACUCCAGCAUCCCUGAACAAGGACACAUUAACAAGGGACCCAACAUCAGGUGUUGGGAAAGGAGAGCCUCAAGAUUCAGUUUUGGCAAAAUAUAUAGAACGCUUUCGUCAUGGAAGGCCACAGAGUCGGGAGGAACGUCAGCAAAUGUGGACCAUAGUGGGAGAGGGCCAGCAGCCAUUCUGGUGGCUAUCCUCUUCCCCUCUACCACCCUGUUCUACACCAACCCAAACCACUGACAAAGGCUUUUCUGUUAGAAACAACACUGCCACCCCCCUCAGUCCAAUUGGUCAGUUUCGGUAUGAUGCAGCCUCAUCCCCAUGUACAGGCCUUCUGGAUCUUAGUGCCAUGGAAUUGUCAGACUCCUCUCACUGUGACCUUGGAGACGCAGAUCUACUGCAACUACAAAAGAAGGCUAGCAAGUUGUUACAUCAAAGUGAGCAGUCCCUCAGUAGUGGAUCUAUCCCCAUCAGCUCUGAGGGCCUGGGCUGCUCUGAUUUUUCAUUCCCUGUAAGCAUUGAGGAGCCAGUCCGAAGGCCUUUAGUAUCCAGUCUUGUCAGCUCAACCACAGAGAUGGGGAAUCUAAGCUCAUCAGACAUUUAUACUGGCACCACGACCAAACCAUUAGUGCUGGAUCCCCAAGCGCCCCGCCCGCGCCCAGAGGAGGACAUCCUGUUUCAGUGGCGUCUAAGGAGGAAGAUUGAGCUGGCUAGGCAGUGGUCCCAGUCAAACCCACACCAGCCGUCUGUCAACCGGGAGGCUUGGAAGGUCCAGCAGAAUCCUCUCCCUGACCGUUCCAGAGGCACCCCCUCCUUCACCCCAGACCCUCAGGAGACCAGUGCCCCUGGUGGACUGUUCCCACCUGCAACUGCCCCCGUGCCCCCCCUUCUCGUUUCCAGCCACAUGGUCUCAAAGUUGCAACCAAACACCACGGUCCCUUCCCAUAUGCACCUUCUCUGUGAUGUCCUGCCCUGCCCCACUCACUCCCCUUUACACAGUCACAAGAGAAGCCAAAACAGAAGGGAUGUCCCUGGGGCUGACAGGACCCUCCAGAAGCCCAACGCCCAGACCAGAUCCGGAGACACCUCCAGUAGUAAAUUAGGAUCCUCUGCAGCAUCUUCCAGGUCUGAGGCUACAGAGGAUGAGGGGUCAGUUCAGCAGAGGAGAGCAGAGAGGACAAAGAAGACCCUACAGAAGAAGGAGGUAGACAGGAGUGAGAAACGCACAGGGCCAUCAAACAGGAACAAGAAAUCAGCCAGGCAUAAUGUUGGUGACGGAGUCCUCCCUGAGAGGCAGAGGAGUGUGAGCCGACAUGACAACAGGGGUUCAGAUAGGGUCACACAAUGGAGGGAGGAGCCUGACAGAGAUGUUGGGGAACAAGACAGAAGGCCAGUAAGUGAAGGCCGCCCUGGAGAUGGUGCUCCUCCUCCCUCUCCCAUACACAGUGCCCUGGGACAGGUCAUUUCAGAAGUACUGUUCCCGACCACAGGCUCCCCAGACCUGUCGAAGUCCCCCGUGUCCUUGGACUCUCCAGGAUACACCCGUCCUGUGACCCCUGGCCCCCCUUCCCAUGUACAGCCGCCACGGGAGGUUGUAGCUCAGUUGCUGCAGGAAGCUGAAGAUUCAGACGAGAGAGAUUUUGAGGAGGACCCCUUGCUGCAUGUGUUACGGCAGCAAAGGAAGUGGGUGAAAGAGCAAAUCAGCGAGGUGAACUCACUGUUGAAUGAACUCCAGGAGGCGUGA